rnacentral:rRNA from 1 species
AGUGAACGCUGGCGGUAGGCCUAACACAUGCAAGUCGAACGGCAGCACAGUAAGAGCUUGCUCUUACGGGUGGCGAGUGGCGGACGGGUGAGGAAUACAUCGGAAUCUUCUUUUUCGUGGGGGAUAACGUAGGGAAACUUACGCUAAUACCGCAUACGACCUACGGGUGAAAGCAGGGGAUCUUCAGACCUUGCGCGAUUGAAUGAGCCGAUGUCGGAUUAGCUAGUUGGCGGGGUAAAGGCCCACCAAGGCGACGAUCCGUAGCUGGUCUGAGAGGAUGAUCAGCCACACUGGAACUGAGACACGGUCCAGACUCCUACGGGAGGCAGCAGUGGGGAAUAUUGGACAAUGGGCGCAAGCCUGAUCCAGCCAUACCGCGUGGGUGAAGAAGGCCUUCGGGUUGUAAAGCCCUUUUGUUGGGAAAGAAAAGCAGCAGGUUAAUACCCCGCUGUUCUGACGGUACCCAAAGAAUAAGCACCGGCUAACUUCGUG